ACCCAGAUGGCUCAGUUGGUAGAGCACAUGACUCUUGAUCUCUGGGUUGUGAGUUUGAGCCCCAUGCUGGGUA
rnacentral:tRNA from 1 species